AAGGCAAGCGGAUCUCUUAAAGACUGUUCUCAGUUCGGACUGCAGUCUGCAACUCGACUGCACGAAGCUGGAAUCGCUAGUAAUCGCGGAUCAGCACGCCGCGGUGAAUACGUUCCCGGGCCUUGUACACACCGCCCGUCACACCAUGGAAGUCUGCAAUGCCCGAAGCCGGUGGCCUAACCACUUAUGUGGAAGGAGCCGUCUAAGGCAGGGCAGAUGACUGGGGUGAAGUCGUAACAAGGUAAC
rnacentral:rRNA from 1 species